CCCUUAGAUGUUCUGGGCCGCACGCGUGCUACACUGAGUGGAUCAGCGGGUCAGGUUGCGCGAAAGUGUUUCCUAAUCUUUAAAUCCGCUCGUGAUGGGGAUUGACGGUUGCAAUUUUCCGUCAUGAACGAGGAAUACCUUGUAAGCGCGGGUCAUCAUCCCGCGCUGAAUACGUCCCUGCCCCUUGUACACACCGCCCGUCGCUCCUACCGAUUGAGUGGUCCGGUGAGGCUUUGGGAUCUGAGCGGAAAGAGCGUUUCGCUGUUUCUGCCCGGAAAACUCAGUCGAACCUUAUCAUUUAGAGGAAGGAGAAGUCGUAACA
rnacentral:rRNA from 1 species